rnacentral:rRNA from 1 species
UACGUAGGGUGCGAGCGUUGUCCGGAAUUACUGGGCGUAAAGAGCUCGUAGGUGGUUUGUCGCGCUGUCCGUGAAAACUCACAACUCAAUUGUGGGCGUGCGGGCGAUACGGGCAGACUGGAGUACUGCAGGGGGAGACUGGAAUUCCUGGUGUAGCGGUGGAAUGCGCAGAUAUCAGGAGGAACACCGGUGGCGAAGGCGGGUCUCUGGGCAGUAACUGACGCUGAGGAGCGAAAGCGUGGGGGAGCGAACGGG